UCUUACGCGUUAGCGAUUGAAACGGCAUCCUUUUUUGCUAUUAAAAGCAAAAAAGAUAUAGUGUAAAGCGCGACCCCUG
rnacentral:sRNA from 1 species